rnacentral:rRNA from 1 species
UACGGGGGGGGCAAGCGUUGUUCGGAAUUACUGGGCGUAAAGGGUUCGUAGGUGGCCUUCUAAGUCAUACGUGAAAUCCCUCAGCUUAACUGGGGAACUGCGUCUGAGACUGGAAGGCUCGAGUGCAGGAGAGGAACGCGGAAUUCCAGGUGUAGCGGUGAAAUGCGUAGAUAUCUGGAGGAACACCGGUGGCGAAGGCGGCGUUCUGGACUGCAACUGACACUGAGGAACGAAAGCUAGGGGAGCAAACAGG